UACGUAGGGUGCGAGCGUUAAUCGGAAUUACUGGGCGUAAAGUGUGCGCAGGCGGCCGCGCAAGUCGAGUGUGAAAGCCCCGGGCUUAACUUGGGAAUUGCGCUCGAAACUACGUGGCUGGAGUGUGGCAGAGGAAGGUGGAAUUCCAGGUGUAGCGGUGAAAUGCGUAGAGAUCUGGAGGAACACCGAUGGCGAAGGCAGCCUUCUGGGCCAACACUGACGCUUAUGCACGAAAGCGUGGAGAGCAAACAGG
rnacentral:rRNA from 1 species